CAAGAUACAAUAAGACAAAUUAUAAAAUUAGUUGACCCUGUAGGUGUGGGAAUAAGAAGAGCACGACGCCUAAGAAGGCGUCAAUACAACUGUCGGGGGCCAAAUGCUCUUUGGCACCUGGAUGGCUAUGACAAAUUAAAGCCCUAUGGGAUUGGCAUCAAUGGCUGUGUUGAUGGCUUUAGCCGGUAUGUGUUGUGGGCGGAAGCCUAUACCACAAACAGUGACCCUAAGGUGCUUGCAAGUUAUUUUAUAAAAACAGUUUCACGCGUCGGUGGGUGUCCAGAGAGGAUCCGUGCAGACAGGGGCACAGAAAAUGUUUGUGUCGAACAGAUGCAGAUGUUUUUGCGUAGAAACCACUCAGACAAUUUUGCUGCGGAGAAAAGUUUCCUUUACGGAAGAAGUACAGCCAAUCAGCGUAUUGAAGGGUGGUGGUCAACCCUUCGCAAACAGAGCGCACAGUUUUGGAUUAAUUUAUUUCAAACUCUUCAGGAUGAUGGCCACUUUUCAGGAGAUUUUCUGGAUAAAAGUCUGAUCCGGUUCUGCUUUCUUAAUCUUGUGCAGGAUGAGCUGGAUGAAGUUGUGAACACAUGGAACGCACACAAAAUAAGACCAAGAUUGCACCAUGAUACAGCUUCAGGUCGACCAGUCGUCAUGUAUUCAUUCCCUGCGAUGCACAGUGCCGAGGAUCAAUUAAAACCUGUUGGAACGGAAGAGAUCACUGCAUGUAUGGAAGAGUGCACUCCAAAAGGCAAUUUUCCUUGUGAUGAAACUGUAUUUGAACUGUGUUGUUUGCUUAUGGAGGAAAAUGAAUGGCACGCGCCAUCAGAUCCAUUGGAUGCAAGUGACUUGUAUGUUAAGUUGAGAGAGGAAUUACUGAAGUCUAUUUGACAUGUGUACUGAUGCAAUUUUGGGAAAAUGAAGCUUCAAAUUUGCUCCAUAAACCAGUUGUUGUUU